AGCAGCCGCGGUAAUUCCAGCUCCAAUAGCGUAUAUUAAAGUUGUUGCAGUUAAAAAGCUCGUAGUUGAACUUCGGAAUUUGCCCAUUGGUCAGGCUUAACUGUCUGCACUGGUGUGACGAGUUCCUACCUUCUGAGGAAUCUCCAUGUCAUUCAGUUGGUGUGGGGGGAAAUCAGGACUGUUACUUUGAAAAAUUAGAGUGUUUAAAGCAGGCGUCCGUCUGAAUACAUUAGCAUGGAAUAAUAAAAUAGGACGGUUUGGUUCUAUUUUGUUGGUUUCUAGGAUCACCGUAAUGAUUAAUAGGGAUAGUUGGGGGCAUUAGUAUUCAAUUGUCAGAGGUGAAAUUCUUGGAUUUAUUGAAGACUAACUACUGCGAAAGCAUUUGCCAAGGAUGUUUUCAUUAAUCAAGAACGAAAGUUAGGGGAUCGAAGACGAUCAGAUACCGUCGUAGUCUUAACCAUAAACUAUGCCGAC
rnacentral:rRNA from 1 species